AAAGCAAUUAUCCAUUUUUAUUUUGUUUACAUUGCACUGAAAAUUUACAUCAUACUUUUACAAAGUUUCUUUUCAUAAAAAUAUACUUCUUUACAAAAGUGUAUGCAUUAAUAUAAGAGGAGUAGCCAGUUGCAGAAGAAACAUUGUUUAAACAAGAUCUUAAAUGUAUUAGCCUUAACAUUAAUGAAUGAAUCAGUUAUUGCAGUCAUUUGAAUAAACAAGAAUAAAUAACUGAUGGCAUAAAAUUUAAAACUGCAUCCUGCCAGUAGAGUACAAUGUUGAGAAAAUUGUAUGAAUUUCCAAAACAAUGUAUCUCAAAGUGGUUUACAAGAAAUUCACUAAAUGUUGUAGAGAUAGAUCCAAGCAGCGCUCCCAGGUGCAAGGGUUUCUCUUAGGCACUCUGUCUCAUGAUACAGAAAGUCGAGACUGUUCACAGAGUUAUCCAUAUUUGAAAGGGACAACAACAAAGAGUUAACACUGGGUACAUGAUUUCAUUCAAUGAAGUAAAACAUGCUAUAAAAGGAAGACAAUGAGCUAUUAAAUAAAAAUGCUGGCAUUGCUGUAUGAUACAGUUUAAAUGAGCCACCAAUAACUUACAAAUACAUAUCUUAAUUUGACAUUGAAAGAAACCUGUUGUAUCUGAAACUUGGUGUUUAAGAAUAAAGGUAUGGAAAUUUAAAAAUAUAUAAAAAUAUGAUAAGUCCACAAUUUUAGGCAAUAAAUUUAUAUUGGUGAUUUAUAAUAACAAUUUUUUUCAGUCAUUAUGUUUAAUGGCUAGACCAAAAUGUUUUUCUAAUCCAUUGUUAAAUGAAAGUUAAAAGUGUCAAAAUAACAGUAAAUUUGAAGACUCAACUGGAAGGAAAUGUAGAUAUAAAUAGAGUAGAUUAUUAGGACAUUUUAUUUGGUCUUUCAAAAAUAUUGUAAAAUGAAGGCUGGUAAGUUUGGUGUCUCAGAUAACUGCAAAAUAAUAAUCUUUCUAGAUAAUUUUUGCCAGCCAAAUGGUUUUUGGGUGACAAAACAUAUUGAAGCUACUAUCACAUUUGGGAUUAAAAAAUAAUAAAAACAAAUAGGAAAAAAACAUAUUGAAGCAUGGAGUUAAACACUACCCCAUAGCUCACUGAAUAAUACUGGUUACUCCAUAAUGGGGAAAUCGGGAGAGUAGCACAAUGAACUUGCCAUUUGCAGAAACUAUGACAACCAGUCCAAAAGAAGAAGAGCAAUACAAUACUAAAGAAUAAAAAACAGAAAGAUUCAAAUUGGAAUGGGCAACCUUAUUUCUUCUGAGACAUAAAUUAGCUCGUAAACAUUUAAAGUCAUAACUCAAUCUUAAAUAAGGAAAACAAUGUCUCAAUUAACAAGAACGAACGGCAGAUAGAGUGGUAUGAAAGACAGAUUUGUGGGCAUGAUGUAGCUCAGGACAGUUAAAGAGAAGUCAGUGAUCUAUUGACUCUUGUAAGUAUAGCUCUUAUUUCUACCCUAUAUCUUUUUUUUUUUUAAACCCAGUCCCUCUAAUAUAGUUUAUAAAGCACAGAAAUACUGAUAGUGGAUGCUCCUCCAAUAUAUGCAAAUAAGUUUGUGUUUUAGAAUAAUCUCCUUUUUAAAAAAAGCAAAUAAACUGUGAGUAAGCACUCUCAGAGUGCAGCCAAAUUUCUGUAAAACUCUCCAUGGUAAACAUGAAGAAUUAUGGUCCAGUUUAUGAAAAAACACUCUUCUGUAUCAUUCCUCAGGAAAAGGUGACCCAGCAAGUCCUGAAAAGUGUGCUUUAAUUUUUUUUUAGCAGUGAACUAAAUGUGCACUGUUUUGUGUGUCGAUUUCCAAGCUUCUG
ensembl:lncRNA